rnacentral:rRNA from 1 species
AUUGAACGCUAGCGGGAUGCUUUACACAUGCAAGUCGAACGAGUCGCGGACGUGUGAGUAAUAUAUCGGAACGUGCCCAGUAGCUGGGGAUCGCUACUCGAAACAGUGACUAAUACCGCCUCCUUUUGGAUCGGCCGAUCUCGGAUUAGCUAGUUGGUGGGGUAAAGGCUCACCAAGGCGACGAACCGUAGCUGGUUUGAGAGGACGACCAGCCACACUGGGACUGAGACACGGCCCAGACUCCUACGGGAGGCAGCAGUGGGGAAUUUUGGACAAUGGGGGAAACCCUGAUCCAGCCAUGCCGCGUGUAUGAGAAGGCCUUCGGGUUGUAAAGUACUUUUGGCAGAGAAGCGGUAUCUGCAGAAUAAGCACCGGCUAACUACGUGCCAGCAGCCGCGGUAAUUC